GACUCUCGCAACGGAUACUCGGCUCACGCAUCGAUGAAGAACGUAGCAAAAUGCGAUACUGGUGUGAAUUGCAGAAUCCCGUGAACCAUCGAGUUUUUGAACGCAAGUUCCGCCCGAAGCCAUUCGUGAGGCACGUCUGCCUGGCGUCA
rnacentral:rRNA from 11 species